rnacentral:rRNA from 1 species
AGCGAACGCUGGCGGCAGGCCUAACACAUGCAAGUCGAACGAACCUUUCGGGGUUAGUGGCGGACGGGUGAGUAACACGUGGGAACGUGCCUUUAGGUUCGGAAUAACUCAGGGAAACUUGUGCUAAUACCGAAUGUGCCCUUCGGGGGAAAGAUUAAUCGCCUUUAGAGCGGCCCGCGUCUGAUUAGCUAGUUGGUUGAGGUAAUGGCUCACCAAGGCGACGAUCAGUAGCUGGUCUGAGAGGAUGAUCAGCCACAUUGGGACUGAGACACGGCCCAAACUCCUACGGGAGGCAGCAGUGGGGAAUCUUGCGCAAUGGGCGAAAGCCUGACGCAGCCAUGACGCGUGAAUGAUGAAGGUCUUAGGAUUGUAAAAUUCUUUCACCGGGGACGAUAAUGACGGUACCCGGAGAAGAAGCCCCGGCUAACUUCGUG